rnacentral:rRNA from 1 species
GGGAAUAUUGGACAAUGGGGGCAACCCUGAUCCAGCAAUGCCGCGUGUGUGAAGAAGGUCUUCGGAUUGUAAAGCACUUUCGACGGGGACGAUGAUGACGGUACCCGUAGAAGAAGCCCCGGCUAACUUCGUGCCAGCAGCCGCGGUAAUACGAAGGGGGCUAGCGUUGCUCGGAAUGACUGGGCGUAAAGGGCGUGUAGGCGGUUUACACAGUCAGAUGUGAAAUCCCCGGGCUUAACCUGGGAGCUGCAUUUGAUACGUGUAGACUAGAGUGUGAGAGAGGGUUGUGGAAUUCCCAGUGUAGAGGUGAAAUUCGUAGAUAUUGGGAAGAACACCGGUGGCGAAGGCGGCAACCUGGCUCAUGACUGACGCUGAGGCGCGAAAGCGUGGGGAGCAAACAGGAUUAGAUACCCUGGUAGUCCACGCUGUAAACGAUGUGUGCUAGAUGUUGGGUAACUUUGUUAUUCAGUGUCGCAGUUAACGCGUUAAGCACACCGCCUGGGGAGUACGGCCGCAAGGUUGAA